CGAGUUGAAAGCAUUUGCAAGUCGUUCGCUCCGUCGGGGGAGAGGGAGAGAGAGAGAGCGAGAGAGAGAGAGACGCCGCCGCCUGUGACGUCGUUUGCGCUCAGUUUGUUCAGAUACGCUGGGGCUCCAUUCUGGCGGUGGUCCCGACGCUCCUCUUGGUCGUGCUUGUCAUCCAAAACAUCGUCUUCUUCCACUUGAACAGGCCUCAGGACAUCGUCAAAGAGUUGGGCGCGCUGGUGGCGACUUUGCCCAACAGCAUCCCAGACCACAACUGCACCGAUUUAGCCUGCCACUGGGCGGCGCUGCAGACCGCAUUGGCAGAGCUGAAGGCAGAGCUGAAGGCAGGUCAGGAGGCAGGUCAGACGGCAUUGGCAGAGCUGAAGGCAGGUCAGGAGGCAGGUCAGACCGCAUUGGCAGAGCUGAAGGCAAGUCACACCGCGAUUUCCAGCGACCUGGAGAAGAGUCAGACGGCAUUGGCAGAGCUGAAGGCAGGUCAGACGGCAUUGGCAGAGCUGAAGGCAGGUCAGGAGGCAGGUCA